UACGAAGGGGGCUAGCGUUGCUCGGAAUUACUGGGCGUAAAGCGCGCGUAGGCGGCCCGGUAAGUCCGUUGUGAAAGUCAAAGGCUCAACCUUUGAAAGCCGAUGGAUACUGCCGGGCUAGAGUCCGGAAGAGGCGAGUGGAAUUCCUGGUGUAGCGGUGGAAUGCGCAGAUAUCAGGAGGAACACCGAUAGCGAAGGCAGCUCGCUGGGACGGUACUGACGCUGAGGAGCGAAAGCGUGGGGAGCAAACAGG
rnacentral:rRNA from 1 species